rnacentral:snRNA from 9 species
AGUUCUACGAGACGGGGUUUAUGGCUGAUCAAGAAGAGUCAUGGCCUAGGCUAGUGGCCCACAUUGCACUUUGUGGAUGCGCUGGCUUAUCAUCUUCCCUUUGACGGAGAGUGGACGUAAAUUUGUGAUAGAGGAGGUACGCGUUCGCGUGACCCCUGC